rnacentral:rRNA from 1 species
UACGUAGGUGGCAAGCGUUGUCCGGAAUUAUUGGGCGUAAAGCGCGCGCAGGCGGCCUCUUAAGUCUGAUGUGAAAGCCCCCGGCUCAACCGGGGAGGGCCAUUGGAAACUGGGAGGCUUGAGUAUAGGAGAGAAGAGGUGAAUUCCACGUGUAGCGGUGAAAUGCGUAGAGAUGUGGAGGAACACCAGUGGCGAAGGCGACUCUUUGGCCUAUAACUGACGCUGAGGCGCGAAAGCGUGGGGAGCAAACAGG